rnacentral:rRNA from 1 species
UACGGAGGGGGCUAGCGUUAUUCGGAUUUACUGGGCGUAAAGCGCACGUAGGCGGCGUAUCUAGUCAGAGGUGAAAGCCCGGGGCUCAACCCCGGAAUUGCCUUUGAUACUGGUAUGCUUGAGUUCGGAAGAGGGUAGUGGAAUUCCAAGUGUAGAGGUGAAAUUCGUAGAUAUUUGGAAGAACACCGGUGGCGAAGGCGGCUACCUGGUCCGAUACUGACGCUGAGGUGCGAAAGCGUGGGGAGCGAACAGG